rnacentral:snRNA from 1 species
GUGCUCGCUUCAGCAGCACAUGUACUAAAAUUGGAACGAUACAGAGAAGAUUGGCAUGGUCCCUGCUCAAGGAUGACACACAAAUAUAUGAAGCAUUCCAUAUUUUU